rnacentral:rRNA from 1 species
GCUUGCUCUCGGGUGACGAGUGGCGGACGGGUGAGUAAUGUCUGGGAAACUGCCUGAUGGAGGGGGAUAACUACUGGAAACGGUAGCUAAUACCGCAUAAUGUCGCAAGACCAAAGAGGGGGACCUUCGGGCCUCUUGCCAUCAGAUGUGCCCAGAUGGGAUUAGCUAGUAGGUGAGGUAACGGCUCACCUAGGCGACGAUCCCUAGCUGGUCUGAGAGGAUGACCAGCCACACUGGAACUGAGACACGGUCCAGACUCCUACGGGAGGCAGCAGUGGGGAAUAUUGCACAAUGGGCGCAAGCCUGAUGCAGCCAUGCCGCGUGUAUGAAGAAGGCCUUCGGGUUGUAAAGUACUUUCAGCGGGGAGGAAGGCGAUGCGGUUAAUAACCGUGUCGAUUGACGUUACCCGCAGAAGAAGCACCGGCUAACUCCGUGCCAGCAGCCGCGGUAAUACGGAGGGUGCAAGCGUUAAUCGGAAUUACUGGGCGUAAAGCGCACGCAGGCGGUCUGUCAAGUCGGAUGU